rnacentral:piRNA from 1 species
UAUCACCUGAAAGCAAGCAUACCCA